rnacentral:rRNA from 1 species
UACGGGGGGGGCAAGCGUUGUUCGGAAUUACUGGGCGUAAAGGGCCCGUAGGUGGCCAACUAAGUCAGACGUGAAAUCCCUCGGCUUAACUGGGGAACUGCGUCUGAUACUGGUUGGCUAGAGUCCGGGAGAGGAGAGUGGAAUUCCUGGUGUAGCGGUGAAAUGCGCAGAUAUCAGGAAGAACACCCGUGGCGAAAGCGGCUCUCUGGAACGGUACUGACGCUGAGACGCGAAAGCGUGGGGAGCGAACAGG